rnacentral:rRNA from 1 species
AUUCGCGGCCUAUCAGCUUGUUGGUGGGGUGAUGGCCUACCAAAGGCGACGACGGGUAGCCGGCCUGAGAGGGCGACCGGCCACACUGGGACUGAGACACGGCCCAGACUCCUACGGGAGGCAGCAGUGGGGAAUAUUGCACAAUGGGCGCAAGCCUGAUGCAGCGACGCCGCGUGAGGGAUGACGGCCUUCGGGUUGUAAACCUCUUUCAGCAGGGAAGAAGCGCAAGUGACGGUACCUGCAGAAGAAGCGCCGGCUAACUACGUGCCAGCAGCCGCGGUAAUACGUAGGGCGCAAGCGUUGUCCGGAAUUAUUGGGCGUAAAGAGCUCGUAGGCGGUCUGUCGCGUCUGCUGUGAAAACCUCAGGCUCAACCUCGGGCUUGCAGUGGGUACGGGCAUCCUAGAGUGCGGUAGGGGUGACCGGAAUUCCUGGUGUAGCGGUGGAAUGCGCAGAUAUCAGGAUGAACACCAUGGGGAAGGCAUGUCUCUGGUCCGCAACCCCUGCUGAACCCGUAAGCACGGGAUUCGAGGCCCAUCAGCUGUUGCGAUAUGGUCGCGGCCUAACAGCGUGUUGUGGUUGAACUGCCAGAACAAGAGGUUCACUCUCUCUACCCUUAG